rnacentral:rRNA from 1 species
AGGACGAACGCUGGCGGCGUGCCUAACACAUGCAAGUGGAGCGACGAACCAGGCUUCGGCCUGGGGCAAAGCCGCGAACGGGUGAGUAACACGUGGGUAACCUGCCCCGAUGAUUGGGACAACCCGAGGAAACUCGGGCUAAUACCGAAUGUGCCCUCCGACCAUAAGGUCGCUGGGGAAAGGAAGCUUCGGCCUCCGCAUCGGGAUGGGUUUGCGGCCCAUUAGCUUGUUGGUGAGGUAACGGCUCACCAAGGCUGCGAUGGGUAGCUGGUCUGAGAGGACGAUCAGCCACACUGGGACUGAGACACGGCCCAGACUCCUACGGGAGGCAGCAGUGGGGAAUAUUGGACAAUGGGCGAAAGCCUGAUCCAGCCAUGCCGCGUGUGUGAUGAAGGCCUUCGGGUUGUAAGCACUUCGCACGUGACGAUGAUGACGGUAACGUGAGAAGAAGCCCGGCUACUCGUGCAGCAGCGC